rnacentral:rRNA from 1 species
UACGUAGGUGGCAAGCGUUAUCCGGAAUUAUUGGGCGUAAAGAGCGCGCAGGUGGUUAAUUAAGUCUGAUGUGAAAGCCCACGGCUUAACCGUGGAGGGUCAUUGGAAACUGGUUGACUUGAGUGCAGAAGAGGGAAGUGGAAUCCCAUGUGUAGCGGUGAAAUGCGUAGAGAUAUGGAGGAACACCAGUGGCGAAGGCGGCUUCCUGGUCUGCAACUGACACUGAGGCGCGAAAGCGUGGGGAGCAAACAGG